rnacentral:rRNA from 1 species
UACGUAGGGUGCAAGCGUUACUCGGAAUUACUGGGCGUAAAGCGUGCGUAGGCGGUUUGUUAAGUCCGUUGUGAAAGCCCUGGGCUCAACCUGGGAAUUGCAGUGGAUACUGGCGAGCUAGAGUGCGGUAGAGGAUGGUGGAAUUCCCGGUGUAGCGGUGAAAUGCGUAGAGAUCGGGAGGAACACCCGUGGCGAAGGCGGCCAUCUGGACCAGCACUGACGCUGAGGCACGAAAGCGUGGGGAGCAAACAGG